rnacentral:rRNA from 1 species
AGAGUUUGAUCCUGGCUCAGGAUGAACGCUAGCGGCAGGCUUAACACAUGCAAGUCGAGGGGCAGCAUAAUGGAUAGCAAUAUCUAUGGUGGCGACCGGCGCACGGGUGCGUAACGCGUAUGCAACCUACCUUUAACAGGGGGAUAACACUGAGAAAUUGGUACUAAUACCCCAUAAUAUCAUAGAAGGCAUCUUUUAUGGUUGAAAAUUCCGAUGGUUAGAGAUGGGCAUGCGUUGUAUUAGCUAGUUGGUGGGGUAACGGCUCACCAAGGCGACGAUACAUAGGGGGACUGAGAGGUUAACCCCCCACACUGGUACUGAGACACGGACCAGACUCCUACGGGAGGCAGCAGUGAGGAAUAUUGGUCAAUGGACGCAAGUCUGAACCAGCCAUGCCGCGUGCAGGAAGACGGCUCUAUGAGUUGUAAACUGCUUUUGUACUAGGGUAAACGCUUCUACGUGUAGGAGCCUGAAAGUAUAGUACGAAUAAGGAUCGGCUAACUCCGUGCCAGCAGCCGCGGUAAUACGGAGGAUCCAAGCGUUAUCCGGAUUUAUUGGGUUUAAAGGGUGCGUAGGCGGUUUGAUAAGUUAGAGGUGAAAUACCGGGGCUCAACUCCGGAACUGCCUCUAAUACUGUUGAACUAGAGAGUAGUUGCGGUAGGCGGAAUGUAUGGUGUAGCGGUGAAAUGCUUAGAGAUCAUACAGAACACCGAUUGCGAAGGCAGCUUACCAAACUAUAUCUGACGUUGAGGCACGAAAGCGUGGGGAGCAAACAGGAUUAGAUACCCUGGUAGUCCACGCAGUAAACGAUGAUAACUCGUUGUCGGCGAUACACAGUCGGUGACUAAGCGAAAGCGAUAAGUUAUCCACCUGGGGAGUACGUUCGCAAGAAUGAAACUCAAAGGAAUUGACGGGGGCCCGCACAAGCGGAGGAACAUGUG